GAUAGAUUGAGCUCGCAUGCUGAAAAGCAGAUUAGGCCAAGGCCAAGCCAUAUUUGCGUGUUUUUACUGUGUAGCAAAGCGUUAUUAGGCUUUUAACCAUCUUAAAAGAUCAACCGUUUUUGGGUGUGUUCUAUUGAGGACAACGCAAUUUACUGAUUUGCCGGCUUAUUUAGGCGGCCAAAUUGAUUUGGCACAAAUAUCACAAGUCAGUUAUUUUGGCAGGACAUUUUACCAUGUCAGGAAGAAGAGGCAUACAGUGUGAUGCGAUACCAAUGACCGAAAAGGAAAAAUCUGAAGCAUUAAAAAGAAAGCCUCAGCUGCAACAGCAGCAACAGCAACAGGCUCCACAUGCACAGAAUCAACAAAAUCAAAAUCCUUUGGUACAGCAAUCACAGCAUGAUGGAAGUAAUGGAAACCAACAGAAUCAAGGAAACUCGUCGUCCAACGCUGCUGGCAAUCAUGAAUGAAUUUAAUAUUUCACUUUAUUUUUCUUUACACAGGGAAUGUCAGGGAAGGCUUACCGAACGACGCAGUGCAUUUAUUAGGGUUCUUUGUACGAAAUACAAAAGCGCAAUUUGAAUUUUCUAAAAAAACAACACAGAUAUAAAAAGAUAAUUUUGAGAACUUCUAUGUAUUUUAAAUCUUGAAAAAUAAUCAUUUUUUUUUUAAAUUUGAAUGCAUAUUGCGUAAAAAUGGUUUAAAAAAAAUAUACUGUAUUUUUUUCCUUCAAUCCCAUCAUAAACUUCUUCAAUUGAAUAAAUUAUAAAUUACAAACACAAAAAUUAUGUAUUAUAAAUUGUGACAAAAAAAAGAAAUUAUAUAAGUAUCCUUUAACAUCAAAUAAAUAUUCAUUGAUAUGAUUUCCAUAAUAACAAUCUAUUUCCAUCUCUAACAAUAAGAAUAUAUUUUUAGCAAAAUAUUGCAAGAAUUAAUUGUGGGCGUUCAUAGAGUAGUUUUACGGUUCAGCGGCAGAUCGAGUUUGUGUCCACUUUCGAUUUUAGCCCAACCUUGCCGGCGCCUCUGUUUUUUAUCACUUUCGCAAUGCGCCUGAACUCCGUCAACUGUCUUUGUUUUGUUUGCGAUACAAGUCCCAAGUUAUUUUCACAAAAGUUGGCUUUUCUACACUUUAAUUAACUUUAAGUUCACUCGUACUGCAAGGAGGUACUCCCUCCCGUAUGUCAAAUUUGAUUAUUCUCUUGAGCACUGACAACAUUAGGCGUUCAGUUUUACUGCUGAAAUUGCAACAAUGGAGCCGCAGAAUAUCAAAGACAUUUAUUCCAUGAUACUCCCAGAGGAUCGCAUUCUCAACUUGAAAUUUGAAUUGCAUCAUUGCCUUACUUUCCCAUGCGACUUUGAAACACGUUUUCCUGGUGCCAAGCCUUUAGACCUAGCCAACCUUGGGUUCUACUUUGAAGAUGAACUUCUUCACUGUCAAUUUUGUGGUCACACUGCAAACGUGGAAAAUUACCUAGAGUCACAUGAUCACAAAGUUUACUGUGCACAACUUCAAGAGUCGGGAGAAAAUAUUUGUUUUUCUAAAAUUUUAAACUACAGUUUUGAGGCGCAUCGUCUUUAUUCCUUUCUAAAUUCGAAUUGGGUGAAAGCAAAUCCCAAAGUUUGCUGCGUUGACUUAGCCGCGGAUGGUUUCUAUUUUUUGAAUGAAGGAAAAGACAAGACGAGAUGUUUCUACUGCAAACUUAAAAUUGAGGAUUGGCUGGAAUCUGAAACGGGCAAAAUAGUUCACACCAACUUUAACAAACACUGCCCAUUUUUUCAAAAUCCGUCAAACGUGCUGAACAUGAAAAUCGGUACGGAAUGUCAAAAAACCUAUAGUGACUCAAUUGGAAAACCUAAUAAUGGUGCCAAAGAUAUGUCUGAUGAGGAAAUGGAGGAAGCUAUGAAUGCCCAAGGUCCGCAUAAUCCUGCAGCGCCAAAUGGAAAUAACCCUCCAGCAGCUGAGCCUGGAAAUGAAGAUCAACAAGGUGCUCAAGAAAACCCAAUCAAUGACGGGCAGCAAGCAGAAAAUUAGAAAUUCUAAACAUUGCUUUUUUAGGAUUAUUUACCCACAAAUUAAUUAUCCUAUGCGUGUGUUUAAAGCGUAAUAUUAAUAGGCUGAAUAAAAUACACAAAAUAUUUAUAUGAAUUAUAACAAAUUGCUACUUGUCUGGAAGCAAUAUUCCAAUUAUCUGUACCAAAUCUGUAUGAACCUCAAUAUAAUGUGAAUCUUGUCUGGUAUAUUUACAGCAUGAGGCAAUACAUACUUUUUAAUUUUAUGCCAUAGAAAAUUUAUAUGAAAACACUUUUUUGCGCAUAUAUAUUAAUUUCUUUUUAUGUAAUUGAAAACUAUGCAUGUAUUGAUUUUUGCGUCAUAGAACAGAACAAUUAUUUUAAAAUCUUGAUAAUAAAAAUUUUCCCUUGCUAAUA